rnacentral:rRNA from 1 species
UACGAAGGGGGCUAGCGUUGCUCGGAAUCACUGGGCGUAAAGCGCACGUAGGCGGAUUCUUAAGUCGGUGGUGAAAUCCUGGAGCUCAACUCCAGAACUGCCUUUGAUACUGGAGAGCUUGAGUCCGGAAGAGGUGAGUGGAACUCCGAGUGUAGAGGUGAAAUUCGUAGAUAUUCGGAAGAACACCAGUGGCGAAGGCGGCUCACUGGUCCGGUACUGACGCUGAGGUGCGAAAGCGUGGGGAGCAAACAGG